UAGAGUUUGAUCAUGGCUCAGGAUGAACGCUGGCGGUAUGCCUAACACAUGCAAGUCGUACGAGAGUUUUUAACUCUAGUGGCGGACGGGUGAGUAACACGUGAGAAUUUGCCUUUAGGAGGGGGAUAACAAUUGGAAACGAAUGCUAAUACCCCAUAUGCUUUCGAGUGAAAUGGAUUUAUAUUUAUCCGCCUAGAGAGAAGCUCGCGGCUGAUUAGCUUGUUGGUAAGGUAAGAGCUUACCAAGGCGACGAUCAGUAUCUGGUUUGAGAGGACGAUCAGACACGCUGGAACUGAGACACGGUCCAGACUCCUACGGGAGGCAGCAGUGGGGAAUUUUCCGCAAUGGGCGAAAGCCUGACGGAGCAAUACCGCGUGAGGGAAGACUGCCUAUGGGUUGUAAACCUCUUUUUUCAGGGAGGAAUCAAUGACGUGUACCUGAAGAAUAAGCAUCGGCUAACUCCGUGCCAGCAGCCGCGGUAAGACGGAGGAUGCAAGUGUUAUCCGGAAUCACUGGGCGUAAAGCGUCUGUAGGUGGUUUAAUAAGUCAACUGUUAAAUCUUGAGGCUCAACUUCAAAAUCGCAGUCGAAACUAUUAGACUAGAGUAUAGUAGAGGUAAAGGGAAUUUCCAGUGGAGCGGUGAAAUGCGUAGAUAUUGGAAAGAACACCGAUGGC
rnacentral:rRNA from 1 species